UACGUAGGGUGCAAGCGUUGUCCGGAAUUAUUGGGCGUAAAGAGCUCGUAGGCGGUUUGUCGCGUCUGCUGUGAAGACUGGGGGCUCAACCCCCAGCCUGCAGUGGGUACGGGCAGACUAGAGUGCGGUAGGGGAGAUUGGAAUUCCUGGUGUAGCGGUGGAAUGCGCAGAUAUCAGGAGGAACACCAAUGGCGAAGGCAGAUCUCUGGGCCGUAACUGACGCUGAGGAGCGAAAGCAUGGGGAGCGAACAGG
rnacentral:rRNA from 1 species